ensembl:lncRNA
CUGACCACUCAAUAGCAUUGAACACAAUGUCCAACAUGACUACCUUUGUGCUUCUGGGAAUUCAGACCAUCUCAUUUUAUUAAUUGCAGUUCUCUGUCAUCAGCAGCAGACUGGAUCGAAGAACUGUAGGACAAAGAAUGGCUUUUGCUACUCAAGUCUACCAUAUGCUUAUGGAAAAGAGAGUGCUGGGACAGAAGACAACUGGAAAGUGCCUAGCAGGUAUUCGUGUGAGGCCACGGUCAUCGGGUGGAAAUCUGCAUGGGGCGGAGGUGGCUGCACCGUGUGGAAAUCCCAGCUCAGAUGGGAAGGAUGCAGAGAGCUGGGUAGGACGAACACCGAAAGGAGAGGAGAAUCUGAUGCAGUGAAAUGUCCUGGUUAUUUGAUGGCAGGAAUGAGGAAGGUGCUCUCUGAAAAGGAGAACAGUGGGUACUUUGUCGGCUACCACCACUCAAGUGAAAUCCAGGUCAUGUCGAUUUCAGACCUUUUUAUUAGUCACUGCAUUCUUUAUUUCAUGCAUGCAUUAUUUCCACUGUGUCUUUUACACUUACUGUGGUAUGUCAAAAAGCAGCAGACAGAUUUGUGUGUGUAGAACAAUGCAAAAGCAUUAUGGUGAAAUAACAGUGAAAUAGUACUAACAUUAUAAUAUUACUUCAGUACAUUCUGAGAAGUAAUGUCAAUAAAAGAGCCUUUGGAUCAGUAUAACAUCAAUGCUAGGGAGUGUAUUAAUCUCACAGUAACUAUUAAGAAAUAGAGCGAUGCUGAAACUAUACAAAGGAACCGUUACUGAAAGAAUGAGGUACCAGCUGUUCUGAAACCUGUGGAAAGUAUUUUGAACCAAAUAACUAUCAAAGACCCCUUCCAAGCAACCUUCCCUACUGAACAUGUGCAAAUAAAGCAGAGGUCCAGCACUUUCCCUGGCCUUACUUUUCAUACUACACGCAGGCUGCUUUAGAAUAAUACCUGUAUAUUUUACACUCAGCUUCAGAAUGCUGUUAGCUGUCAGACAGACUUUCUUUUUCAAAUGUUUUAUUCAUGUGUCACUUGACUGUUCAUUUGCUAAGGGUUUACAAAUGCUUCAUCAAUUAUUAACAGUCCUGAUACCUACUUGUUAUUUUGUUGUUGUUGCUUUUUUUUUUUUUUUUUUUUUUAAGGAGAUGUUGGGGGAAAGAGAACACUACAAAAUUAAGAAAACAGAAUAAAAUAGGAAUUAAAUAAUUUACAUCUACUUACUGCAUAUAUUCAAGUUAGUUUUUAAAGGAAAACAGUUAUACAAGAGAAAAUUGAAUUAAGUGUUUCCAGUUGUUUCCAAGAAGCACAGAACACCUAUGUUCUCUCCGGGUGCAUGCAGUAUGCUAAAGAGAUCACUUUGUACACUCUCAAGAAAGAGAAUACGCAGAAGAUUGUUUGAAAACAAUCCAAGGAAUGAAGAUCACAUCGCCUUAGUAAAAAAGUGAAGGGAAGAUGUGCUCUUGCAUCUGAAGAGAUAUGUAUCUUAGUGCCUAAAAAAGGACAAGGUAUCUAAUGUGAUGUCUGUCUUUUAAACCCUCAUGUCUCUAAGAAACUUCUGUUGCUUUUCCUUUGGUACAGCUCUAUGAAUAAAUAUAGUGGCAAAAUAGAGGCUUAAGGACAUUCUGAUAUAUUUACCAAAGUCUUCCUCAUCUGCCUGCUUAAUCUCUGCAAAGGAGUGGUACAACCUUUCCCUCUCCCAUUACAGUGCUAGUUCCACCAUGUUGGAGAAACACAAAUCUUUUGGUUUUGUUUUCUGAAGUCAACAAAUAAUGACAUGUAGAGAUUUCAUUAGCUAUUUGUAAACACAUUUAUAAACUAUUUAAUAGCUGCUACUUCCAAAAGGAAAAUAGGAGAGUUUCUUGCUUCUCCAAAAGAAUAGACUGAAAACAAAAUGUUGCAGAGCUAAGUAAGAACUUGGACUUCUGGAAUAGCAGCCUUUCCACAAAUGCCUUCAAAGUUGGUCUGUUCUCUUGUCCCUUUGAAAAAUUGUUUGGGAAAUCUGCAGUUCUCAAUGCUGAAAGCCCUGUUUUGCUGAGCAAAUCAAUACACGGGAUUUCUUUCUACAAAGCCCUUUGAAGCUCGAGCAAUUGUCUUGAUGGGCUCUGACUCACUCCCAGGAAGAGCACAAUCAAUUAUCUAAUCACAUGAAAACAAAGUACGGGCCCAAGCACAGGCAGCAUGCAGUGCCAUCACUGGCGCUGGGCAGCACAUUGAUGUCUCAUGCAAAGUACGGUAAGAAAAUACAGUAGUGAUUAUAAAAAUGGCAGCCUGUUUUUAAAAGCUGACAGUGGCCUUUCAAAGGGAGCAGAACAUUAAACGUGCGGGUGGUUACGCAGACCACAAUAUGCGUUGCACAUGAUGUUGUUGCUGUUAGGGACUGGAGAGGGGGCUGGAGGCUAUUCAAGGCUAGGCUGAAUGCGGCUCUGUGGGGGCUUGAAACUAGAUGAUCUCAAAGGUCCUUUUCAACCCAGGCCAUUCCAUGCUGCUGUUAUUCUAUGAUUCUUUGCAACAUAGGCCCCAGACUUCACUGUUUUGUAUUUUUUCCCCUCAGAGUUGGGUGCUCCAGGCUCCACCUGGGCUCUGCUGACUGAGGAGGCCUCAGCCAGUAGCAGGCCCAAAGCUCACCAGCCAGGCCCCAGGAGCUCCACAUGGCAACAGAUCUCUCUUUGGGGGUAAAAGAGUGGAGAUGGGAUGAUUUGCUCGGUGCUGACAGCAUUCUUGGUAACAGAAUGUGAUAAUUUUGGUUUGGAUGUGACUCUCCAGGCUUCAUCCAUCCCUCAGGCUAAGGUGAGGGCUUCCCCUCAGGCUGCUUGCUCCCAGCGCUCCCUGGUCCCUUUAGUAAUUUCUUACUCAAAUCCCCAGACAGGUUGGAAUCCAUCUUUACUGAGUCAU